CUUUAUAUCUAAUAUAGAGGACGAUAAAUAAUGUAAUAGUACAAAUUAAAUGAAAUCUGACUGAAAUAGAUUAAGCCUUUUUGGCUGAAGUUCUUCCAUCUCUGUUUUCCAUUUGUUUAUUUCUAAAGAGACAAAGCCAAGUGCUGCAAUUUUGACUGAAAUGUCCCAAUCGGCCUUUUCUCUUGCAGUUUAUUUGGGGAACCUCAGCUGACUCAGCCGUUUAACCAGCUGCUGUAUCAAACCACUCAGGACCAUGAUGACGUUGGUGGUCGCCAGAGGACUUUGAGACAUCCAACGAAUAGGGACUUUAUUAUCAGAUGGAGAUCAGGGGGCCAGGACUCUCUACAUGACCUACGCAGAAGCUGCUGAACCCGAUGCCUCCACAGACCGGAGAGCUGCAUUUUACUGCUGAAGUCAGUAAAGCACAUCUGCUGAGUUAAUAGUCUUGGUCCACUCUUGAACACUCAGUUUCCUUCAAUCCAGGUUGCAGCAUGUGUAUCAUAGCUACUGUAGAAAUGUUUAGUCAGGUAUAACUAAAAUGUGUUUGAUCUAAUUCAAACUUUUUUAUUAUAUAUUAUAUUAUAUAAGCCAUAAUUUUAAUGCUCCAACCUGACUGCAACAGAAGUCAUUUUUAUAGGGCAGAGGAGGUAGAAAUAGAUCCUUUUGCAACCAUUGCU
rnacentral:lncRNA from 12 species